rnacentral:rRNA from 1 species
CCGGAGAUAGCUGGUUCUCCUCGAAAUAGCUUUAGGGCUAGCCUCGUAUUAGUUUAGCGGAGGUAGAGCACUGAAUUUCCUAGGGGGCGUCAAAGUCUACCGAAGAAUAUCAAACUCCGAAUGCCGCAUAAAUGAUGUACGGGAGUCAGACUGCACGAGAUAAGUUGGGUAGUCAAAAGGGAAAGAGCCCAGACCUACAGCUAAGGUCCCAAAGUGUGUGUUAAGUGGAAAAGGAUGUGGGAUUUCGAAGACAACUAGGAUGUUGGCUCAGAAGCAGCCACACAUUCAAAGAGUGCGUAAUAGCUCACUAGUCGAGAGGUCCUGCGCCGAAAAUGUCCGGGGCUAAAACACAACACCGAAGCUUAGGAAUGUAAUUAUACAUUGGUAGAGGAGCAUUCUUAAAGAGACGAAGCAGUACCGAUAAGGAGCUGUGGAUUUUUAAGAAGAGAGAAUGCCGGAAUGAGUAGCGAGAUGGAGGUGGGAAUCCUCCAGGCCGAAUAUCUAAGGUUUCCAGAGUAAAGCUGAUCUGCUCUGGGUAAGUCGGGGCCUAAGGCGAGGUCGAAAGACGUAGUCGAUGGAUAACAGGUUGAAAUUCCUGUACUGCAUAUCAUCAGAACUGUGGGGACACAGAGAGAUACCGGAACCUGGGAAUGAAGAUACCAGGGCAAGCGAGGUAGGUGCUAAGCUGGCAAAUCCGCUUAGUAAGCCGAAGACGUGAUGCGGAGCGAAUUAAAGUAGCGAAGUCCGGGAUUCGAGCUGUCGAGAAAAGCCGCUAUUGCGUGAUAUGUACCCGUACCGUAAACCGACACAGGUGGAUGAGGAGAGAAUCCUAAGGCCGGCGGGAGAAGCAUUGUUAAGGAACUCGGCAAAAUGACCCUGUAACUUCGGGAUAAAGGGUGCCACAGAGAUGUGGCCGCAGAGAAUAGGCUCAAGCAACUGUUUAGCAAAAACACAGGUCUAUGCGAAACCGAAAGGUGAGGUAUAUGGGCUGACGCCUGCCCGGUGCUGGAAGGUUAAGAGGAGAGGUUAGCGCAAGCGAAGCUUUGAAUUUAAGCCCCAGUAAACGGCGGCCGUAACUAUAACGGUCCUAAGGUAGCGAAAUUCCUUGUCGGGUAAGUUCCGACCCGC